UACGUAGGUGGCAAGCGUUGUCCGGAUUUACUGGGCGUAAAGAGCGCGCAGGCGGUCAGAUAAGUCGAAUGUGAAAGCCCCCGGCUCAACUGGGGAGGGUCAUUCGAUACUGUUCGACUCGAAGGCAGGAGAGGGAAGCGGAAUUCCCGGUGUAGUGGUGAAAUGCGUAGAUAUCGGGAGGAACACCUGUGGCGAAGGCGGCCGACUGGGCCGACCCUGACGCUGAGGCGCGAAGGCGUGGGGAGCGAACGGG
rnacentral:rRNA from 1 species